rnacentral:rRNA from 1 species
AGAAGUGGUCAUACCUUCUUGUCCGUGCCCGAUCUUGUCUGAUCUCAGAGGCUAAGCGGUAUUAGUAUUUGAAUGGGACACCACUGGGAAUACUAGGUCCA